UACGUAGGUGGCAAGCGUUUGUCCGGAUUUAUUGGGUUUAAAGGGUGCGUAGGCGGUCUUCUAAGUCAGUUGUGAAAUACUUCAGCUUAACUGGAGAGGUGCAAUUGAUACUGGAAGACUUGAGUACUGAUGAGGUAGGCGGAAUGGACGGUGUAGCGGUGAAAUGCUUAGAUAUCGUCAAGAACACCGAUAGCGAAGGCAGCUUACUGGGCUGUAACUGACGCUGAGGCACGAAAGUGUGGGGAUCAAACAGG
rnacentral:rRNA from 1 species